UUCGCCUACGGGGGGCAGCAGUGGGGAAUAUUGCACAAUGGGGGAAACCCUGAUGCAGCAACGCCGCGUGGGUGAAGGAGCGUUUCGGCGCGUAAAGCCCUAUCAGCAGGGAAGAUAAUGACGGUACCUGACUAAGAAGCCCCGGCUAACUACGUGCCAGCAGCCGCGGUAAUACGUAGGGGGCAAGCGUUAUCCGGAUUUACUGGGUGUAAAGGGAGCGUAGGUGGCAGGGCAAGUCAGAUGGGAAAACCCGGGGCUCAACUCCGGGAGGGCAUUUGAAACUGUCCAGCUAGAGUGCAGAAGAG
rnacentral:rRNA from 1 species